CCAAACCAAACAGCAGACAGACAAAGUUAGCAAUUCGCUGGUAAACAUAGUGGAGUAUUUAGCAGCUAGAGAGCCAGAUAUUUCCCUCAGGAGUUGGUGGAGACCAAAAUAGAGCUAAAAGGCGAGUG